rnacentral:tRNA from 1 species
CGCGGCGUACCCAAGCGGCCGAAGGGACCGGUUUCAUAUUCCGGUAUUCGCAGGUUCGAAUCCUGCCGUCGCGUCGA